GCGCCACUCUCUUCGUCUAGCAUCAUUUGGUCUAGUGCCUUUUGAGCUAGUGCAAUUGGUCUAGUGCUUCAGCUGGUCUAGCGCCAGUUUGGCUAGUUUCGUUUGAGCUAGUGCCAAAGUGCCAUUCAUUUGAGCUAGUGCCUUUGGUCUAGUGCCGUAAUUUCGUCUAGCUUUCAGCAGACUCAUUUCCAUGAUGGAGGUGUAUUAUCAUGCUUGGCACAAUAAUUAGACUCACGAGGAAAAGAUUUUGCGGUUAUUUUAUUUUCUUACAGAACUUCACGAGGCAGCUUUCAUUCCUUUUCUGUUUCGACUGAAGCGAGGUAAAUUUGUUGUGUGAUAGACGCAAAUUACGGGUUAUCGGCUGUAGCUAUGGAAAUUUUUAAGUCAUCAAGGGGUGGGGACAAAUUAAGCUUCGAAGGUUUUGUCUACCGAAAGAAUACUUCAAAUAUUACCACUCAAAAUUGGCGAUGCGAAAACAAAGGAUGUAAAGGAUCUGUUUCAACAUCAUUACGAUAUCAUACCGAAAGACAAGUUGUUACUAGGCAAAUUCACAACCACCCCCCAGUUCCGGCAAGAGUUGAAGUUGUUUCGGCAUUGGACAAAGCCAUGGAACAGGCAGAAACGUCAAAUUUGCGUCCAAGAAGAAUUAUAAGUGAUAUGAAUUUGAGUAGAGAAGACACAACAGAAGCUCCAACUAGAAAGGCAAUUUCGCAACGUAUCCAAAGAAAACGAAAACAUUCAGAAAUCGGACAUGAAGUAGCGCCACUCAACAGGUCAGGCAUUAUAAUUCCAGAGAAGUACAAAACGACAAAACGGGGAGAAGAAGAGCAUCGUUUCCUGCUGUAUGACAAUGAAGAUGAUGGAAACGACAGACUGAUAGUCUUUUCUUCCGAAGUCAUGCUAGACGAAUUAAGCAAAAAUAACAUUUGGAUGAUGGACGGAACAUUCAAAGUGGCACCUACUUUAUUUCUUCAGUUAUAUACCAUACAUGUUAUCAUUGGCGGGCCAAA